UACGUAGGGCGCAAGCGUUAUCCGGAAUUAUUGGGCGUAAAGAGCUCGUAGGCGGUUUGUCGCGUCUGCCGUGAAAAGUCCGGGGGCUCAACUCCGGAUCUGCGGUGGGGUACGGGGCAGACUAGAGUGAUGUAGGGGGAGACUGGAAUUCCUGGUGUAGCGGUGAAAAUGCGCAGAUAUCAGGAGGAACACCGAUGGCGAAAGGCAGGUCUCUGGGCAUUUAAC
rnacentral:rRNA from 1 species